CGCAGCGAGGUGGCGAAGUCUCUAAAAACCUCCGGCCCAAAAUGCAGAAUGAUCCAGCUGUGCAUGACCCAUCUGUCCCGGCAGGGCAGAGAACGCAGAGGGCCACCCACCGCCAUGUCAGCCGGCGUGUUACACGCCAACGGCAACAGAAAUGCGACCGAAAGAUGUUUGUUUGUUUACUGGUGAGGUCGUUGAUUGGCUGGUUGUGUGGUGGCCCCCGAUACACAGCUGACGCGCGCCUUGUUAAGACCGAGAUAAGGCGGGAUGCGUAACGGCAACUGUCUGCGCAUAUUUCACAAAAUUUUUGUGCCUGUUAGCGUGGCAUGUGCUACAUUUCUGCCAGCCUGCUUUUCGUCGCAGGAACCUUUGAAGCAUGCUCUGAAAGGUCACCAGCACUGCCCUGCAGCGGGCGGGACAUCAGGCAGGAUUGUUACCACGUGGGAACCAUUUUCCCUGUUGUGACGACGUGGAGGCGUACGUGACAUCUGAAAAUGCUCCUUGAAAGCGACGGAUCUUCAAAGUGAGCUGGGAUGUGAAGCGACCAGGCAGCCUGGGUGUUCCCCAGGCGCAGGAGGGUUUUGCCAGUGGCGCACGGACGCAGCUCGACCGAUGGGUCGCUGCCGGUUUCGGCAUCAGAGGUUAUGCCACACGUUGUGCACCCACGUGACAGACUGCGCCUACGGCUUCAAAGGGGAGUGACGCCAUCACUCCCGACGUGAGAGAAGUGAUAAACUUUCCACUUUUCACUUUCCACAUACGAAGCGCCCGCGCCGCAUGCAAAGGGUCGGGGACCCGCUUCCUCUAGCCGCCUUUUUGUCGUCGCCGUUGGCAGAGCUUCCCGCUGCCAGCCGGACGAACAUCUGGUACGUCGGCACCAUGUGUGAAAAUGCCUUUGGAACAAAUACUGCAAGGAGGCCGUUAAUCUGAUGAGGAUGUAAGGGCGAUGAGGGCUCGCCCUUUACAGGUGGAGAACUCUUCCAGCGCAGCUGUUGUUGGCGGAAGCAAGAAAGCGAGGCAGCCAAGCCCCGUGCCCUGGGGGGGCGGGGGGGGGGACUUUCGUCCUCUAUGUCCCUUCAUCUGCAAAACAAAAACUUUCAUCGCUGCAUGCGCCACCCCCACACUUUUGAUUUUUUUAAAUAGAACAGACGGACCAAACAAAGGAGAAAAAAGCAUGCAAGAGGUCAAACAGGGAUAGCAUGAGCAGCAAGCAGCAUGAUUGUUAAGAGGAUAGACAUCUAACCUAAAAGUCAUGGGUUCGAGUCCUAAGUGAGGAGAACCCUGCUGUUGGACCCACAAGAGUAUUUCGCGCCUAGAUUACUUCAGUGAUCCUUAUCUUUAUAAAAAUUUGUCAAAAACACAAACAUUUACACAUGAGAAGUUUUCAUACUUAAUUUGGGUGCUUACUGUUGCGUUAUGAGCUCUCCAGGCGUUUCCUGUUUGUGGCCGGUGCAAAGAUAACAUGAGGACGACCACAGAACACCUGCAGGUGCUGAUGAGAGAGCUAGAUCCUCAAGUACCACGCUGAGUGGGAUUAUCACCAGGCAUCGGUCACUGACGAGCUCAGUCCUCUCCUCAUUGGUUACUUCAUUGGCUCCCUUAUGCUUAACCCAGACUGCAAUCGGCAGCACAUGACAAAUUCCACCCGCAGUGGGUUGUGAAGCUUCAUUUCUCUCAUCAGAUCAUCCCACCAGCUUCUUUCUGUUACCACUGCUGUGACAUGGCAGCGACUCACGUAGUUGUGAUUAAAGAGCCGUCCGCCUGCCAAAAAGCAGGAAUAAAGGCAGGGCGCUACCACGCGCAUUUUAUGGAAAGCUUCCUCAGC